CAGUAGCCGCGGUAAUACGGAGGGGGCUAGCGUUGCUCGGAAUGACUGGGCGUAAAGGGCGCGUAGGCGGCGAUCAAAGUCAGGCGUGAAAUUCCUGGGCUCAACCUGGGGGCUGCGCUUGAUACUUGGUUGCUUGAGUGGGGAAGAGGGUCGUGGAAUUCCCAGUGUAGAGGUGAAAUUCGUAGAUAUUGGGAAGAACACCGGUGGCGAAGGCGGCGACCUGGUCCUUGACUGACGCUGAGGCGCGAAAGCGUGGGGAGCAAACAGGAUUAGAUACCCCCGUAGUCCCUGUCUCUUAUAC
rnacentral:rRNA from 1 species